GACGAACGCUGGCGGCGUGCUUAACACAUGCAAGUCGAACGGAAAGCCCCCUUUGGGGGUACUCGAGUGGCGAACGGGUGAGUAACACGUGAGUAACCUGCCCUUGACUUCGGGAUAACUUCAGGAAACUGGGGCUAAUACCGGAUAGGAAUCCUUGCUGCAUGGUGGGGGUUGGAAAGCUUCGGCGGUUUUGGAUGGACUCGCGGCUUAUCAGCUUGUUGGUGGGGUAGUGGCUUACCAAGGCUUUGACGGGUAGCCGGCCUGAGAGGGCGACCGGCCACAUUGGGACUGAGAUACGGCCCAGACUCCUACGGGAGGCAGCAGUGGGGAAUAUUGCACAAUGGGCGGAAGCCUGAUGCAGCAACGCCGCGUGCGGGAUGACGGCCUUCGGGUUGUAAACCGCUUUCAGCAGGGGCGAAGCUUGUGGUGACGGUACCUGCAGAAGAAGCACCGGCUAACUACGUG
rnacentral:rRNA from 1 species